rnacentral:sRNA from 1 species
UUACGAAUAGCACCUACCGAUGGUCCCAU